UUACAAUAGAACUACAUUUCCCGUGGUGCUUCAGUCAGCAGCGGAGUUGGGCUUGUUGGGCGCGCUGUACAGAAGGCAUUUCAAACAAAAAUGGCGGAAAAACAUACAGGAGCUGGAAAAGAAGGUGUCGAAAGUGUCGCCGUCGCUGACACUGGAAAUGAGGUCAACUCGGCGAAACAUACUUCGAAAAGAUGCUCUUCUUCAAGCCCGAGUGCUGCAUCCCCCUCACACAAAUCACCCAGAACGGACUCCUCAUCAUCCAUCUCUCGGACGACAGAGCCUGUGGAAGGACAUUCGGAUACAGACCAACAAGAGCUUCAGACCAGGAACAUUGAGGGACCUUGCAGCCCUACUGUCAGCCCCAGUGCACAGAGAAAGUCCUGGAGGAGGGCAACCAUAACCCGACGCUCCCUCCCCUACCCUUCAGAACCAUAUAAAGUUCUGUGCAGGGCAUAAAAUCCAUCAUUGCCACAGCAAGAGAGGUUCGAGAAACUGAUUGAGGCUUCAAUGAAGCUUGCAAUAGAGAGAAUGCAAAGUUCACUGCAGUCAGUACCAAAACACCUCACUAGAAGAUUUUCAAAAACAAGUUGAACGCAUGCAGAAAGAGUGCACCUGUAUAGCUGAAAACAUACACAGCAAGUCACAGGAUCAUCUGAUUCCUGCUAGUGCAAUAAGUGAUCCUGCAAUGCACGGAGCAAUAGAAAACUUCCAGAAAGCCAUCUGCAGGCUCCAGGCAGAAAGUGAAUCUUGGGAGGCACUCUUGAACAAACACCAGAAGAAGCAGAAGAGUUGGGAAGGAAAGUGGUGCAGGGCCAAGAGAAAGGCUUGUUGUUGGACCCUUCUUCUAUGGCCCAGUCUUCACAGUACCAUUUCAUACAGAGUAAACCUGACUACCAUGGUCUCCUCUGUAGCCAACAGCCCAUGUUUCACACUAUGGCAAUGAUAAUGGACACUCAGUGUAAGAUGGUUGGGGAGCUCUUUCCAUCAAGAAGCAUUCCGAGUUAUUUGUGAAAGAGACCAGUGGGAGAUUGGCAGCAGAGGCAGGAUUUCAGGAUCUUUCACCUAACGUGGCCAAGAACCUUAUGACUGCACCAUUAUCCUCUACAACUACAUAGUCACCCUAACUGGAGGCAUGCAUCAGCAGUCUACUAUGGAUGGAUCUUUAUGUUUUUAUAUAAAGUUUACAUUUGAAUAUUUUCUGGUCAUUUUGAUGUUUUAUUUUUUGGUGACAUGGUUCUUUGUUCGGUCUUUUUGUUAUAUCAAAGUAAACAAGAGUUCUAUGUUUCAACUUCAAAUAAAACCAUCUUCCACAAAAGCUGGUUUGACAAUGA